rnacentral:rRNA from 1 species
GAUGAACGCUGACAGCAUGCUUAACACAUGCAAGUCUUUGGCGAAGCUGUGCUUGCACAGCCUAGCCAAGGCGGACGGGUGAGUAACGCGUAAGGAACUUGCCCUGCAGUCAGGGAUAACAGACGGAAACGACUGAUAAGACCUGGUAAAGUCAGGCGGACUCAUGUCCAGCCUGAUGAAAAGAGAUGCUGCAGGAGAGCCUUGCGUCCUAUUAGCUUGUUGGUGGGGUAACGGCCCACCAAGGCGAUGAUAGGUAGCCGGCCUGAGAGGGUGGACGGCCACAAGGGGACGGAGAUACGGCCCUUACUCCUACGGGAGGCAGCAGUGGGGAAUAUUGGACAAUGGGGGCAACCCUGAUCCAGCAAUUCUGUGUGCACGAUGAAGGUUUUCGGAUUGUAAAGUGCUUUCAGCAGGGAAGAAAAAAAUGACGGUACCUGCAGAAGAAGCGACGGCUAAAUACGU